rnacentral:tRNA from 1 species
UUGUCUGUGGCUCAAUGAUCAAGCAUCUGCUCGACAUGCAGAAAGUUCCAGGUUCAACCCCUGGCAUCUCCAGAUAAA